rnacentral:rRNA from 1 species
CAGUAGCCGCAGGAAUACGUAGGUCCCGAGCGUUGUCCGGAUUUAUUGGGCGUAAAGCGAGCGCAGGCGGUUAGAUAAGUCUGAAGUUAAAGGCUGUGGCUUAACCAUAGUACGCUUUGGAAACUGUUUAACUUGAGUGCAAGAGGGGAGAGUGGAAUUCCAUGUGUAGCGGUGAAAUGCGUAGAUAUAUGGAGGAACACCGGUGGCGAAAGCGGCUCUCUGGCUUGUAACUGACGCUGAGGCUCGAAAGCGUGGGGAGCAAACAGGAUUAGAUACCCCCGUAGUCCCUGUCUCUUAUACA